rnacentral:rRNA from 1 species
AUUGAACGCUGGCGGCAUGCCUUACACAUGCAAGUCGAACGGCAGCACGGGGCAACCUGGUGGCGAGUGGCGAACGGGUGAGUAAUGCAUCGGAACGUACCUUUCAGUGGGGGAUAACGUAGCGGAAGUUACGCUAAUACCGCAUAUUCUGUGAGCAGGAAAGCAGGGGAUCGCAAGACCUUGCGCUGAUUGAGCGGCCGAUGUCAGAUUAGCUAGUUGGUGAGGUAAAGGCUCACCAAGGCGACGAUUUGUAGCGGGUCUGAGAGGAUGAUCCGCCACACUGGAACUGAGCCACGGUCCAGACUCCUACGGGAGGCAGCAGUGGGGAAUUUUGGACAAUGGGGGCAACCCUGAUCCAGCCAUGCCGCGUGAGUGAAGAAGGCCUUCGGGUUGUAAAGCUCUUUCGGCCGGGAAGAAAUCGCACGGGCUAAUACCCUGUGUGGAUGACGAUACCGGAAUAAGAAGCACCGGCUAACUACGUGCCAGCCGCCGCCGUAAUAC